CAUGCUCCUCACAAGCAGCUCAAAUGCACCAUGGCUUUAGAUCAGGACUAUGUGCUGAAGAAAGCAUGAACGGAAAUGGGUGUUAUCAGUGCAAAGCAAACCCAGAUGCCCUAACAAAAACGGCAAAGAUGGAUUCUUUCCUCUUCCGUGAGCUGCUUUUUAGAGAGCCAGCGUGUUACAGUAUCCAUGUGCCUCUGACAAUUACUUGUGAGAUCUCUGCCUUUUAUUUUCUGUUGUUCCCGAGUCUGCUAAACAAAGUUCCUCUUCCCUGGUGAGGGUAGUCACUGGCUGUAAGCUGGAGCCUCUCACAGCCAGGGUCUGGGAAGUUGCUCUUUCCGGAAGGGUGGUGGAGACCCUGGGAAUCAGACCAGCCCUGCUCACAAAGUAUGAAGAGAAUGUCGGGAGAGGAAGUGGUGCCUCUGAGUCAGCAUGAGUCAUCUGGUUCCAGUGACAAUGAAGGCUGAGGUGUGCGCCUUUUUCUUUUCUUUCUUUCUUUUUUUUUCUUUUUAAUCAUGUGGACAUCUCUGAGAAUGGAGGGGACCCAGUGCCUUUACAGUGGCUGCUUUCUAAGUUUCAAAGUGACUUUCCAGGCAAGCUGAGCAUGUCUUGGGAUCUUCACAGCACAGUGGCUGGGAAGGUGGAGCCAUUCAUCAGCUUCUCCCUGAAUAACUGGGAGCUGAAACAGGAAGCCCCAUGACACAAUUGAUCGAAAAUGACACAGACACAGAAAAACCAGGACGUGCCCCCAGCAGCACCUUUACCUGCUGCCUGCUGAUCGCAGCUAGAAGGCAGAUGAAGGGUUUCCCCCCAGGAAUGGCCUGUAACUCUGGAGAGCUCUGGCGGACCUCUGUGCUCACUGGUGAGGGAUGGGCCUACAGUAUUUUGGUGAUAGUCUUCUUCGGUUAGUUUCCCACUUCUCGGGCCCUCAUGUCUUGAUCUUAUCUUCAUUAAAGGCAAAACUAAAGAAAA